UAAUAAAAUUAAAAAAAAAGAAGAAGAAUAAAAAAAAUAAAAGAAAUAGGUGGUUUCUAGAGUGCAUUAUAUUUAGUUAAUCUGCUAAACAUCAAGUCCCAUUAGCCUAACUUCCAUCUUUAUCUUUAACAUAGAGAGGCGCAUUUACAUAUAACAUCCUGAAACUGUGCUCUAUAGUCCCUUCCAUGUAGUCUUUCCUUCGCUUUUUCACUGGCAGUGACUCUGUGAGAAAACUGGUACCCACUACUCUAGUUUCCCUGACCUUCACAUGGCUGCGUGUAACAGAGACCAUUAAAUUGAUCUCCCAUCUCCAUUCUCCUCAUCUUGUUGUUUUGGUUUGUUUUUGUAAUGGACACGCCUGAGUUUUAGCCAACAGAUGACUGCCUUGCUAGCUCAUUGUAGACACGUGACUAAGUUUUGCCUGAGGGAAUGUGAGUAGAAAAACCAUGCACGGCAUCUGUAUCACAUUCUUAAAAGAAAGCUUUUUUCCCUUCAUGUCUUUUUCCCACUUCGCAUGAGCUGGAACACAGUUGUAAUGGUGGUCAGCCAGCCUCAACCAUGCCCACGAGGAAAACAAGGGAAAUGUAGAAAAAUAAGACAGAAGGAAAGAUGCAUGAUCUACUAGAGCAGAGCUGCCUUCCUCCGAAAACUGCCCCAAGCUCCAGACUGCUUUGCGAGAGAGAAAUGAACAUGAAUCUUCUUCCAUGUGUACCAAGGCUGCACCUCUGUCAUCACUCAGAGACGAAACAUGCGCCUGAGGCCUAAGCCAGUCAUUGCAUCACAGUCUCAUCCACAGUGACUGGAAGCCAACUUGCUCUUGCUUUUUGGUCUUGAAGCUGAAAGGAUGGAAGGACGAGAGCACUACUGUGGGGAACCUAACACUGAAGCCACCCAGAAAGCAGAGUUCAAGAAUGGAGAGCAACCAAGCACUAGUGGAUUAUUUAGCCUGAAUUCAGCUAGGCUUGAAGCCUGGGACCUACACUUGGGCUUUUCAGUUACACGAAACAACACAUUUCCUUUUAAGGCAGUUUGGGUCAGGUUUUCUGCCACUUGUAACCAAAAGAACCCCAAUUAUUCCCUAUAGUCUUAGCCUGUGCCAAAGAUGAGCUGUUUCUACGCAUCAGUGGAGAAAGUGUGCAUCUUUCUAUCCCAUUGUUUGUAAUUUUAUUGCUUGCCAGAACCUCCAAGAUUCUUGAUAAACAAAACUUUAUUAUGUAAAAUACAAAAUGCUUUGUCAGCAACAGUAAUGCAUAGUCAAAGGUCACUGCUUUCAGGAAGACUCCAUAACAUCUCUUACUUGGUAAUUUUGGAUUUGCCACAAUUCCUGGCUUAUGAAUUUUUAGCAGUAGCAUUGCUAUAUUUUAUAUUUAUGUACUUUAAAAAUCUGAUAUUUGAUCUAAUUGUACCCUUAAUCUAAAUAUAGUACACAAUCUGAAAGACUUCAGGCUCCAGGGCAAAACCUUUAGUGAAUUAAAUUUGGAGUCUUUUGUACCAUCAGAAAAAAAAUAAAUUCUUUUUUGGUGGUGGGAGAGGGGAACUUUGAGAGCUAAUUUAAUAGCACUGUUUUAAACACUUUGCUCAGGAAAUCAUCAAUUUAUUAUAUUUGCUCAGAUAAAUUGUUUUUUAAAAUGGAUUGGAUUAAACUCUGCAUCACAAUCUUCA